GAACAUAAGAGUUUGAUCCUGGCUCAGAUUGAACGCUGGCGGCAUGCUUUACACAUGCAAGUCGGACGGCAGCACAGAGAAGCUUGCUUCUCGGGUGGCGAGUGGCGAACGGGUGAGUAACAUAUCGGAACGUACCGAGUAGUGGGGGAUAACUGAUCGAAAGAUCAGCUAAUACCGCAUACGUCUUGAGAGAG
rnacentral:rRNA from 1 species